rnacentral:rRNA from 2 species
UACGGAGGGUGCAAGCGUUAUCCGGAUUCACUGGGUUUAAAGGGUGCGUAGGAGGGCAGGUAAGUCAGUGGUGAAAUCUCCGGGCUUAACUCGGAAACUGCCGUUGAUACUAUCUGUCUUGAAUACCGUGGAGGUGAGCGGAAUAUGUCAUGUAGCGGUGAAAUGCUUAGAUAUGACAUAGAACACCGAUUGCGAAGGCAGCUCACUACACGAAUAUUGACUCUGAGGCACGAAAGCGUGGGGAUCAAACAGG